GAUGAAGAACGUAGCGAAAUGCGAUAAGUAAUGUGAAUUGCAGAAUUCAGUGAAUCAUCGAAUCUUUGAACGCACAUUGCGCCCGCCAGUAUUCUGGCGGGCAUGCCUGUUCGAGCGUCAUUUCAACCAUCAAGCCUUCGCUUGUGUUGGGGCCCCGCGGCUGCCGCGGUCCCCUAAAUCCAGUGGCGGGCUCGUCGUCGUACCGAGCGCAGUAGACAUCCUCGCUCCGGGAACCCGACGGGUGCCGGCCGUGAAACCCCCCACAUCAAGGUUGACCUCGGAUCAGGUAGGAAUACCCGCUGAACUUAAGCAUAUCAAUAAGCGGAGGA
rnacentral:misc_RNA from 1 species